CCUACGGGAGGCAGCAGUAGGGAAUAUUGCUCAAUGGGGGAAACCCUGAAGCAGCAACGCCGCGUGGAGGAUGAAGGUUUUCGGAUUGUAAACUCCUUUUGUUAGAGAAGAUAAUGACGGUAUCUAACGAAUAAGCACCGUCUAACUCCGUGCCAGCAGCCGCGGUAAUACGGAGGGUGCAAGCGUUACUCGGAAUCACUGGGCGUAAAGAGCGCAUAGGCGGGAUAGCAAGUCAGAUGUGAAAUCCUAUGGCUUAACCAUAGAACUGCAUUUGAAACUGUUAUUCUAGAGUAUGGGAGAGGUAGGUGGAAUUCUUGGUGUAGGGGUAAAAUGCGUAGAGAUCAAGAGGAAUACUCAUUGCGAAGGCGACCUGCUAGAACAUCACUGACGCUGAUGCGCGAAAGCGUGGGGAGCAAACAGGAUUAGAUACCCUUGUAGUC
rnacentral:rRNA from 1 species